AGUGAACGCUGGCGGUAGGCCUAACACAUGCAAGUCGAACGGCAGCACAGUAAGAGCUUGCUCUUACGGGUGGCGAGUGGCGGACGGGUGAGGAAUACAUCGGAAUCUACUUUUUCGUGGGGGAUAACGUAGGGAAACUUACGCUAAUACCGCAUACGACCUACGGGUGGAAGCAGGGGAUCUUCGGACCUUGCGCGAUUGAAUGAGCCGAUGUCGGAUUAGCUAGUUGGCGGGGUAAAGGCCCACCAAGGCGACGAUCCGUGGCUGGUCUGAGAGGAUGAUCAGCCACACUGGAACUGAGACACGGUCCAGACUCCUACGGGAGGCAGCAGUGGGGAAUAUUGGACAAUGGGCGCAAGCCUGAUCCAGCCAUACCGCGUGGGUGAAGAAGGCCUUCGGGUUGUAAAGCCCUUUUGUUGGGAAAGAAAAGCAGCAGGUUAAUACCCCGCUGUUCUGACGGUACCCAAAGAAUAAGCACCGGCUAACUUCGU
rnacentral:rRNA from 1 species